rnacentral:rRNA from 1 species
UACGUAGGGACCGAGCGUUGUCCGGAUUCAUUGGGCGUAAAGAGCUCGUAGGCGGUCUGUUGCGUCGGCUGUGAAAACCCGGGGCUCAACCCCGGGCCUGCAGCCGAUACGGGCAGACUAGAGUUCGGCAGGGGAGACUGGAAUUCCUGGUGUAGCGGUGAAAUGCGCAGAUAUCGGGAGGAACACCAAUGGCGAAGGCAGCUCGCUGGGACGGUACUGACGCUGAGACGCGAAAGCGUGGGGAGCAAACAGGG